rnacentral:misc_RNA from 1 species
GUGGCUCAGUUCAGAUCGUAGGCUGCAACUCGCCUACGUGAGGUAGGAAUCGCUAGUAAUCGCAGGUCAGCAUACUGCGGUGAAUACGUUCCCGGGCCUUGUACACACCGCCCGUCACACCAUGGAAGUUGGCCAUGCCCGAAGUCGUUACUCCAACCCUUGUGGAGGAGGACGCCGAAGGUGGGGCUAAUGACUGGGGUGAAGUCGUAACAAGGUAGCCGUACCGGAAGGUGCGGCUGGAUCACCUCCUAACAGGGAGACAACAAAAUGUUUAAUUUUAUAAUUUUGUCACCUUAGGUCGAUCGGUAUCUCACGUUCUUAAUCUUUUAAGAAUUUCAUUUCCUAAGUUUUUCUAGGUCACACCCAUAUUUUUCCUGGGCCAUUAGCUCAGGUGGUUAGAGCGCACCCCUGAUAAGGGUGAGGUCCCUGGUUCAAGUCCAGGAUGGCCCAUAUCUCUAUGUUGGGGGUAUAGCUCAGUUGGUAGAGCGCCUGCUUUGCAAGCAGGAUGUCAGCGGUUCGAGUCCGCUUACCUCCACUGAUUACCACCUCUGCCAUAAUUUUAAAAGGGAAAUAUUUUGAGUUGUGAUCAAAUUCUGAACGAAUCUAGCUUCCUAAUAAAAUCAUUAAAGAUGCUGGACUCAUUGAAUUAAUUUCAUUGUUUUCAGAGAACCUUGACAACUGCAUAGAUUAUUUUUAAAGACAAUAAGCAUCUUUUUUGAUGCAGAUUUAUUAUUUGUGCGA